GUCCCACCUUCUCCUCCCCAUCCCUCCAUCCCUCCACAGGCCCACUGUGUGCGUCCUCUUCUGAUGUAAAUGCUGGGGGCUGGCAGGCUCAUCAGUGUGUGUGAGGGUGGGUGAGUUGUUUUGCUGAUUCUUUGCCUUCCUUCUGUUACUGAGAGCAGCUUUAUGGUGUCACUCCUUCAUUUUAUAACUCUCUCUCUCCGUCCUUUCUCUGGGUUUAUAAGAGGUUGUGUCGUUCCAGGCCUGCUGCCCACCAAACACUGCUGUUAGUGCCAUCAGGCUUUCUCUCCACCACCUAUUAAAGUGAGUGAAAGGUGGCUCGACUUAAGAGUGCUGUCUGGCCCUGAGCAGUGGGCACCUGGUGGAGUCCGUGUGCCAGCCAGGACAACCGGCCAAACUCUCCAUCUGACCACGUCAUUGUGUCCAGUGCUGAGAGUUUUUAGUCUGUCCAGGAGGACAUUUACGCCAUUUGUCUUUGCCACAUGUAUUCAUUAGAAAAGUCAUGACCUCAGAGGUUCGAUUAUUGUAUUAAUCGAGAGCUUAAGGCUGUCUGUGAGUCCUUUGUCCAUCUAGAGUCAAAAUUAAACAUUUGGACUUGCUUGUGGAAACAGGCACCAGAUCUCUGGGUGGACAUUUCUUAUGAAACUUAUUGGCAUUUAAAGGCCAAAAUGCCAGACGGUGCACAUGGAACAUUUGUAGUGUGAUACUGACAGGAGCAGGUCAUUACUCUCAGAAAUUUUUUUCUUUUUCUUUCCAUACCGCUUAACUUUGGAUUUCAACCUUUUGGCCAGUUUGAGUAGUCUCUUUAUGCACAACAUUGGAUGAAUCUAAAUUUCAAGUUCCAUUUGUAAAGUAGAAAAUGCUGCAUUAUUUCCUCUAAAACACCACAGAGUCUUGCCUUUCAAUGCUGUAACUGGCUUGCAAAUGCAGGACUUUCAUCAAGUUGUUAACUCCGACUUAACCCAAACCAUGACCUUUUCCCUAAGUUUAAUCAAGCACAUGGUUACUAGCAGUGUUGGGGGUAACGCACUACAAAAUUAUGGAUAACAGUAACAAUAUUACUUUUUUGGAGUAAUGAAGUAAAGAAACACACUACACUACAAAAACCAGGAACUUCAUUGGGGGUUUGGUGCUCAUAUCAUAAGGAUCAAUUUCAUCCUUUUUAUUUUUUCUUGAUGUCGAGCCUUUGGUCCAUUGUCCAGCUUGUCUCUGCAUGCUCUGACAGUCUUUUCUUUAGCCUGAUUCAUUUUUCUUGGUGAUUUUUUUUCUCACUGUGUCGCUAUCUCACAGCCUCCUCGUCGAAUGUAAACAAGAAGUUGCCUGCGGAGAUGGCGCUUUCCGACCCAACAUACAUUGAAUAAUCAUGUGGCCUUUGAAAGUCCUAUGGAGAGAUAGAUUGGAGUGACCGAGCUGCUAAUGCUAAAGAGAGAUGGAAAUGGAGACAGAGACGGAGUUGGAAGGAGGCACUUUGUUCCUAAGAGAAGAUCUUUUUUGUAGGAAGAUGUUUCCCAAAGCCUGUGUUUUGAAACUUGUGUGUUGCUACCUUAUAACCAUCUUUAUCCUGUUGUGUGACAGUGAGC
rnacentral:lncRNA from 1 species